rnacentral:tRNA from 1 species
UGGCUCAGUUGGUAGAGCAUGGUUUUUGCAAUGCCAGGGUUGUGGGUUCAAUUCCCAC